rnacentral:rRNA from 1 species
CGGCCGCAGUACUCUGACUGUGCAAAGGUAGCAUAAUCAAUUGGCUUUUAAUUGGAGUCUAGUAUGAAUGGAUUUACGUAAAAGUUCUGUCUCAACAAAAUUUUUUUUAAAUUUUUUAAAAGGUGAAAAAACCUUUAGUAUCUAAAAGACGAGAAGACCCUAAGAAUUUUAAAAAAAUUAAUCUAUCUUUUUUGCUGGGGCGGCAACGGAUCAUGAAACAUCCGUAUAAUCGAGGUUUUCGUAUUAUAAAUUACCUUAGGGAUAACAGCACAAUUGUGACCUCGAUGUUGGACUACGAACCUUAAGGUUAGAUACUCUAAAGG